rnacentral:rRNA from 1 species
GACGAACGCUGGCGGCGUGCUUAACACAUGCAAGUCGAACGGAAAGGCCCUGCUUUUGUGGGGUGCUCGAGUGGCGAACGGGUGAGUAACACGUGAGUAACCUGCCCUUGACUUUGGGAUAACUUCAGGAAACUGGGGCUAAUACCGGAUAGGAGCUCCUGCUGCAUGGUGGGGGUUGGAAAGUUUCGGCGGUUGGGGAUGGACUCGCGGCUUAUCAGCUUGUUGGUGGGGUAGUGGCUUACCAAGGCUUUGACGGGUAGCCGGACUGAGAGGGUGACCGGCCACAUUGGGACUGAGAUACGGCCCAGACUCCUACGGGAGGCAGCAGUGGGGAAUAUUGCACAAUGGGCGGAAGCAUGAUGCAGCAACGCCGCGUGCGGGAUGACGGCCUUCGGGUUGUAAACCGCUUUCGCCUGUGACGAAGCGUGAGUGACGGUAAUGGGUAAAGAAGCACCGGCUAACUACGUG